AGCGAACGCUGGCGGCAGGCCUAACACAUGCAAGUCGAACGGAUCCUUCGGGAUUAGUGGCGGACGGGUGAGUAACACGUGGGAACGUGCCCUUUGGUUCGGAACAACUCAGGGAAACUUGAGCUAAUACCGGAUGUGCCCUUCGGGGGAAAGAUUUAUCGCCAUUGGAGCGGCCCGCGUCUGAUUAGCUAGUUGGUGAGGUAACGGCCCACCAAGGCGACGAUCAGUAGCUGGUCUGAGAGGAUGAUCAGCCACACUGGGACUGAGACACGGCCCAGACUCCUACGGGAGGCAGCAGUGGGGAAUCUUGCGCAAUGGGCGAAAGCCUGACGCCGCCAUGCCGCGUGAAUGAUGAAGGUCUUAGGAUUGUAAAAUUCUUUCAGCGGGGACGAUAAUGACGGUACCCGCAGAAGAAGCUCCGGCUAACUUCGUG
rnacentral:rRNA from 1 species